AGUCGCGAACGGGUGAGUAACGCGUAGGUAACCUGCCUACUAGCGGGGGAUAACUAUUGGAAACGAUAGCUAAUACCGCAUAAGAGUUUUUAACACAUGUUAGAAAUUUAAAAGGAGCAAAUGCUUCACUAGUAGAUGGACCUGCGUUGUAUUAGCUAGUUGGUAAGGUAACGGCUUACCAAGGCGACGAUACAUAGCCGACCUGAGAGGGUGAUCGGCCACACUGGGACUGAGACACGGCCCAGACUCCUACGGGAGGCAGCAGUAGGGAAUCUUCGGCAAUGGGGGGAACCCUGACCGAGCAACGCCGCGUGAGUGAAGAAGGUUUUCGGAUCGUAAAGCUCUGUUGUAAGAGAAGAACGUUGAGUAGAGUGGAAAGUUACUCAAGUGACGGUAUCUUACCAGAAAGGGACGGCUAACUACGUGCCAGCAGCCGCGGUAAUACGUAGGUCCCGAGCGUUGUCCGGAUUUAUUGGGCGUAAAGCGAGCGCAGGCGGCUCUGUAAGUCUGAAGUUAAAGGCAUUGGCUCAACCAAUGUUCGCUUUGGAAACUGCAGGGCUUGAGUGCAGAAGGGGAGAGUGGAAUUCCAUGUGUAGCGGUGAAAUGCGUAGAUAUAUGGAGGAACACCGGUGGCGAAAGCG
rnacentral:rRNA from 1 species